AGUGAACGCUGGCGGUAGGCCUAACACAUGCAAGUCGAACGGCAGCACAGUAAGAGCUUGCUCUUACGGGUGGCGAGUGGCGGACGGGGGAGGAAUACCUCGGAAUCUACUUUUUCGUGGGGGGUAAAGUAGGGUAACUUACGCUAAUACCGCAUUCGACCUACGGGUGAAAGCAGGGGAUCUUCGGACCUUGCGCGAUUGUAUGAGCCGAUGACGGAUUAGCUAGGUGGCGGGGUAAAGGGGCAGCAAGGCGACGAUCCGUCGCUGGUCUGAGAGGGUGAUCAGCCACACUGGAACUGAGACACGGUCCAGACUCCUACGGGAGGCAGCAGUGGGGAAUAUUGGACAAUGGGGUCAAGCCUGAUCCAGCCAUACCGCGUGGGUGAAGAAGGCCUUCUGGUUGUAAAGCCCUUUUGUUGGGAAAGAAAAGCAGCAGGUUAAUACCCCGCUGUUCUGACGGUACCCAAAGAAUAAGCACCGGCUAACUUCGUG
rnacentral:rRNA from 1 species